CAAGACCAGAUGAAUCUAUCGUCACUCUGCUCCCAGUCCAACCUUCCAAGGGUCUUUCUCUCCCACUUUCUCUAUUCUUUCUCUGUCAGGGCAGUCUGCUCAUCUCUCUCUCUCUCUCUCUCUCUCUCUCUCUCUCUCUCUCUCUCUCUUUGACCCAGGCUCAUCAUCCCACUCUUCCUUCUCUCCUGCCCUCCCUGCAGACAUGGCCAUGGUCCUUAUCAAAUGCACUCCCCCUGGAGAACCAACCCUACACCAGAGAUUGAACGGGACUCCCGCCCAGGCAAACCGGCGACCCAGGGACUCCCGCCCAGGCAAACCGGUGAACCAGGGACCCCCGCCCAGGCAAACCGGCGACCCAGGGACCCCCGCCCAGGCAAACCGGCGACCCAGGGACUCCCAUUAUCUGUUAUGAAAAAAUAAUAAUACAUUGAACAAAAAUAUAAAUGCAACAUGCAACAAUUUCAAAGUUUACUGAGUAACAGUUCAUACAAGGAAAUCAGUCAAUUUAAAUAAAUGCAUUAGGCCCUAAUCUAUGGAUUUCACAUGACUGGAAAUACAGAUAUGCAUCUGUUGGUCACAAAUACCUUCAAAAAAGAAGGGGCGUGGAUCAGAAAAUCAUUCAGUAUCUGGUAUGACCACCAUUUGUCUCAUGCAGCGCCACACAUCUCCUUCUGAUAAAGUUGAUCAGGCUGUUGAUUGUGGCCUGUGGAAUGUUGUCCCACUCCUCUUCAAUGGCUUUGUGAAGUUGCUGGAUAUUGGCGGGAACUGUAACACGCUGUCAUACACAUCGAUCCGGAGCAUCCCAAACAUGCUCAAUUGGUGAUAUGUCUGGUGAGUAUGCAGGCCAUGGAAGAACUGGGACAUUUUCAGCUUCCAUUAUCAUGCUGAAACACAAGGUGAUAGCAGUGAAUGAAUGGCACGACAAUAGGCCUCAGGAUCUUGUCACGGUAUCUCUGCAUUCAAAUUGCCAUCGAUAAAAUGAAAUUGUGUUUGUUUUCCUUAGCUUAUGCCUGCCUAUACCGUAACCCUUAAAUUAACAUUUUUGGUAGAUAGUUUCAUUAUUUUGACGUCUCCAGAGUUCACUCUUCUAACGUAGUCUAUUAACUAGAACGGGAAAGUUAUCUUGUCGGCGUAGAGAGCAUUUUGCUGUUGUAAAGCAAAUUUUCACCAAUUCUACAGUUUGGCAUGGAGCUCAGAGAAAAUUUAGCAGUUUUAAAGCAAAUUUCCUGCAAUUCUAUGCAUUUUGCCAUUCGAAAGGCUAUGUUCUUCUGCUCAAACAUUAUAAUAAAAUCAAUGGGUAUGUGGCCUGAAUGCCUGUUUAAUUAAACAAAUAUAUAUUAUCCCUGACUGUCUAGCUUUUAUUUAGAUUGUUUGUUCUCAAAGAUGGUAUUAAUAAAAAAUAUAUAUAGUUCAAUAUCUUUUCUGCAUGCUUCCUAUCUGGUUUUGGUUGUUGAAGUUGACACAAACUGUUUUUCAGUGUCAACUAAAUUACCACUUAGACGGCCAGCCUAAGAAUUGUCUAUACAGAAAAAACCCUGUAAUUAGCACCAAUAACUGUAUUUUCCUCCAUAUUAAAGGGAUAGUUCAAGAAUUUGUCAAGGAAGCCAUUUAUCUACAUCCUCAGAGUUGGAUCAAAGGAAUAGCUAGCAUGCUAACUUUUCCUGUAAACUUGCAGCCAUUGCGCUAACGCUAGUUAGCAUUGACUCAUAAAAAUACCUAUUACGUCCUUCAUACUGGA
ensembl:lncRNA